rnacentral:rRNA from 1 species
UAUAGAAUGGCUCGACGAGGGCUCAGCUUGUCUCCUUUCUUUAGUCAGUGAAAUUGAUCUCCCCGUGCAGAAGCGGGGAUCAACCCAUAGGACGAGAAUACCCUAUGGAGCUUUAAAUUCUUAAUGCCGAUCAACGGACCAAGUUACCCUAGGGAUAACAGCGCAAUCUUCUUCGAGAGUUCAUAUCGACGAGAGGGUUUACGACCUCGAUGUUGGAUCAGGACAUCCUAAUGGUGCAGCCGCUAUUAAGGGUUCGUUUGUCAACGAUUAAAGUCCUACU